AACGAACGCUGGCGGCAUGCCUAACACAUGCAAGUCGAACGAGACCUUCGGGUCUAGUGGCGCACGGGUGCGUAACGCGUGGGAACCUGCCCUUAGGUUCGGAAUAACUCCCCGAAAGGGGUGCUAAUACCGGAUAAUGUCUUCGGACCAAAGAUUUAUCGCCUUUGGAUGGGCCCGCGUUGGAUUAGCUAGUUGGUAGGGUAAAAGCCUACCAAGGCGACGAUCCAUAGCUGGUCUGAGAGGAUGAUCAGCCACACUGGGACUGAGACACGGCCCAGACUCCUACGGGAGGCAGCAGUGGGGAAUAUUGGACAAUGGGCGAAAGCCUGAUCCGGCAAUGCCGCGUGAGCGAUGAAGGCCUUAGGGUUGUAAAGCUCUUUUACCCGGGAUGAUAAUGACAGUACCGGGAGAAUAAGCUCCGGCUAACUCCGUG
rnacentral:rRNA from 1 species